CUCAGCUACAGAAUACUGUUUUUCAAUGGUCACUGCCCGUAUCGGUGCAUUUUUGCCAGUGAUGAACAAGAGCCUGCAUGCUGCACUCGUAUCUAUCUGCGCUAGCAGAGGUGACCCUGAGUUGCCACUGCUGAAACACACCACCAACCUCCUCCGUGUGUCCACAUCCCAUGUUUGGUCCCAUGCACUUCCAUGUUGGAUGCCAUUCUGUCAGACUGCCCCUCUGCUGCUGUCUGUCUCAAGGCAACAAAAUGUAAUGGGAUGUUGGUGGGAAGGUUCAGCUUCUACUACCACACCUCCCAUGUUCCCAUCUAAUGUUGUGGGCGAUCCUCCUAGAACAUAUGUAGAG
rnacentral:lncRNA from 1 species